UGGAUCAUGUUGUUUAAUUCGAUGAUACGCGAAGAACCUUACCAGGUCUUGACAUCCCCUGCAAAGCUAUGGAGACAUAGUGGAGGUUAUCAGGGAGACAGGUGGUGCAUGGUUGUCGUCAGCUCGUGUCGUGAGAUGUUGGGUUAAGUCCCGCAACGAGCGCAACCCUUAUUGCUAGUUACCAUCAUUGAGUUGGGGACUCUAGCGAGACUGCCAGUGAUAAACUGGAGGAAGGUGGGAUGACGUCAAAUCAUCAUGCCCCUUAUGACCUGGGCUACAAACGUGAUACAAUGGCUGAAACAAAGGGCAGCGAAGCAGUGAUGUGGAGCGAAACCCAAAAAAGCAGUCUCAGUUCGGAUUGAAGUCUGCAACUCGACUUCAUGAAGUCGGAAUCGCUAGUAAUCGCGGAUCAGCAUGCCGCGGUGAAUACGUUCCCGGGCCUU
rnacentral:rRNA from 1 species